rnacentral:lncRNA from 1 species
UGCCUUUUUAGUGAGAAAUACACAAGUUAAAAAUGUAGUGCAAUAUCAAUAGAAAGGGUAAACAGAGAAUUGUGGAUGCUAUUUAUAGAAAAGAAUCUGGGUUUUACAAAUUAUUAAAAACUAUUAUCUAAUUUUGAAUAUCAGGAUCCAGGAAGUAAGAUCAGGAUUUUAAGACGAUGCUUUAAAAAUCACUGUGCCUAUUCUAAAAAAAAAAAAAACACACCAAAAAACAAAAACAAAACAAAAAAACAACCAACCCAACAAAAAAACCCCACAAAAGUACAAGUAUGCUGAAUAGACUGAUUAGACUUGAUGUGGCUGUUUUAUUGAGCUGCCUAUCAUUGAACUUUUUUUAAGCCUUAGGAAAGCUAGUAUGGAGUUUGAAGAGAAGCACAGAUCUCCAUGAAGAGCAGUCAGUUAUAGUCAUGGUCGGCAUGCUUGGUUGGUCUGACAGUCGACAGGUGUAGCUCAGACCUGGCCACAAUGUGAGCUGCUUCCUGUUCUCCUAAACAUCAGAGGCUGAAAUUUAGAGAAAUCUGUUUAGAAGAGAAUGGGAAAACAGCCAGGCUAGCUUCAGUACAAGUGUGUUGGUGGCACCUGUAAGCAUGCAGGUGUGUGGAGGAACAGGUCCUGUUCUUGCUGUUGUUACUCCCACAUAGGCAGACUCUGUAAUUGAUUAUGUGUGGGUAGGGCCCUAUUGAAAUUCAGGAGAUUCUGCAGUAGUGCGGGGUUCUUUUUGUGAAAGUUCAGUUGCAACAUCAGGACCCUACUGUGACUCCUUACUGUGCAUUCUGUCACUGUCUCAUUGAUUGUACUGGAACCUGCCUAUUGGGAUAAUUACCAAAUACUAUAUUCCUCAAAACUUCUUAAUGGCACUGAGGCUUUGUGGAUAGUUGGUCACAUGAUGAGAAAAUUCAGCUGUAAGUACAUUAAGAUGAUUGACUUUUUCAAUAGUUAG